rnacentral:misc_RNA from 1 species
AAGUCCACGAGCAGCAACAUCAGUUGCAAUAAGAACAUGAUAGACACCAGAUUUAAAUUUUUGCAAAGUAUCCAUCCGAGAAGCCUGGUCUUUGUCACCAUGAAGAGCUGCAACUUUAAAUCCCUUCUGAACCAAUUGUGAUUCAAUCUCAUCAACAGUAGCUUUUUUAGAAGCAAAAACUAGAACAUCACCAUCAUCAAUCAUUCCAGGUAGUUUUUCAAGAAGCCAAGGCAACUUCUCUGCAUCAGAAGGAAUUACUUGAACAACCUGAGUAAUAUCUUCAUUGGCCAUUCCCACCUCCCCCACUGUAACUCUUAUGGGAUCAGUGAGAAUCUCCCUAGCUAACUUUUCCACCUUGUGAGGC